rnacentral:rRNA from 1 species
GAUGAACGCUGGCGGCGUGCCUAAUACAUGCAAGUCGAGCGAAUGGAUUAAGAGCUUGCUCUUAUGAAGUUAGCGGCGGACGGGUGAGUAACACGUGGGUAACCUGCCCAUAAGACUGGGAUAACUCCGGGAAACCGGGGCUAAUACCGGAUAACAUUUUGAACCGCAUGGUUCGAAAUUGAAAGGCGGCUUCGGCUGUCACUUAUGGAUGGACCCGCGUCGCAUUAGCUAGUUGGUGAGGUAACGGCUCACCAAGGCAACGAUGCGUAGCCGACCUGAGAGGGUGAUCGGCCACAGUGGGACUGGAAAACGGCCCAGACUCCGACGGGAGGCAGCAGUAGGGAAUCUUCCGCAAUGGACGAAAGUCUGACGGAGCAACGCCGCGUGAGUGAUGAAGGCUUUCGGGUCGUAAAACUCUGUUGUUAGGGAAGAACAAGUGCUAGUUGAAUAAGCUGGCACCUUGACGGUACCUAACCAGAAAGCCACGGCUAACUACGUGCCAGCAGCCGCCGUAA